rnacentral:rRNA from 1 species
UACGGAGGGUGCAAGCGUUAAUCGGAAUUACUGGGCGUAAAGGGUGCGUAGGUGGUUUGAUAAGUUAUCUGUGAAAUUCCCGGGCUUAACCUGGGUUGGUCAGAUAAGACUGUUGGACUCGAGUAUGGGAGAGGGUAGUGGAAUUUCCGGUGUAGCGGUGAAAUGCGUAGAGAUCGGAAGGAACAUCAGUGGCGAAAGCGACUUCCUGGACCAGUACAGACGUUCAGGCACGAAAGCGUGGGGAGCAAACAGG